rnacentral:rRNA from 1 species
UUCCAGACUCCUACGGGAGGCAGCAGUGGGGAAUAUUGCACAAUGGGGGGAACCCUGAUGCAGCGACGCCGCGUGGGCGAAGGAGUAUUUCGGUAUGUAAAGCCCUAUCAGCAGGGAAGAACAAUGACGGUACCUGACUAAGAAGCACCGGCUAAAUACGUGCCAGCAGCCGCGGUAAUACGUAUGGUGCAAGCGUUAUCCGGAUUUACUGGGUGUAAAGGGAGCGCAGGCGGCGCGUUAAGCCUGGUGUGAAAGCCCGGGGCCCAACCCCGGGACUGCUCUGGAAACUGCGGCGCUGGAGUACGGGAGGGGCAGGCGGAAUUCCUGGUGUAGCGGUGAAAUGCGUAGAUAUCAGGAGGAACACCGGCGGCGAAGGCGGCCUGCUGGACCGUGACUGACGUUGAGGCUCGAGAGCGUGGGGAGCAAACAGGAUUAGAUACCCCCGUAC